GUCUACAACUACAGGGCGGCUGAGUGGAUCCGUACCAAGCAGCGGCACCUAAAAUAGGAUGAGGGAGAAAUGCAGAAAAACUUAUUACCCUGCUUUAGGAGCAUGGUAAGAUACCCUAUGUGGACAAAAUUAAUCCAGAGCCUUUCGUUACACUGUCCCCCAUAAGCCGCUGUGCAGCUCAGGAAUGUUAAGCACCAUAAUUUAUUUUAAUUAUUAGUCUCGGUCAUGUGAAUGUACAAACCAAAAUCUUGCAUAAGUACAUAAUCCGUUGCGGGCUAACUUCGCUGUGUCUGCUGCCUCCAUUGCUGCUCUCAAAAUUACAAGACACAACUUUUGCAUGUUUAUGUGCAUCAUCACGGCAUAAAGUCCGUACCAUGAAGCUGAAUACACCAAUAACAAAAAAAAAAAAAAAGAAUAAA